rnacentral:rRNA from 1 species
GAUGAACGCUGGCGGCGUGCCUAAUACAUGCAAGUCGAGCGAACAGACGAGGAGCUUGCUCCUCUGACGUUAGCGGCGGACGGGUGAGUAACACGUGGAUAACCUACCUAUAAGACUGGGAUAACUUCGGGAAACCGGAGCUAAUACCGGAUAAUAUAUUGAACCGCAUGGUUCAAUAGUGAAAGACGGUUUUGCUGUCACUUAUAGAUGGAUCCGCGCCGCAUUAGCUAGUUGGUAAGGUAACGGCUUACCAAGGCGACGAUGCGUAGCCGACCUGAGAGGGUGAUCGGCCACACUGGAACUGAGACACGGUCCAGACUCCUACGGGAGGCAGCAGUAGGGAAUCUUCCGCAAUGGGCGAAAGCCUGACGGAGCAACGCCGCGUGAGUGAUGAAGGUCUUCGGAUCGUAAAACUCUGUUAUUAGGGAAGAACAAAUGCGUAAGUAACUAUGCACGUCUUGACGGUACCUAAUCAGAAAGCCACGGCUAACUACGUG